AGUGAACGCUGGCGGCACGCCUAACACAUGCAAGUCGAGCGAGAACUAAACUCGGUUUAGCGGAAAGCGGCGGACGGGUGAGUAACGCGUGGGAAUUUACCAAAGAGUGGGGAACAACUGCUGGAAACGGCAGCUAAUACCGCAUACGCCCUACGGGGGAAAGGCUUCGGCCGCUCUUUGAGAAGCCCGCGUACGAUUAGUUUGUUGGUGGGGUAAUGGCCUACCAAGACUACGAUCGUUAGCUGGUCUGAGAGGACGAUCAGCCACACUGGGACUGAGACACGGCCCAGACUCCUACGGGAGGCAGCAGUGGGGAAUAUUGGACAAUGGGCGAAAGCCUGAUCCAGCGAUGCCGCGUGAGUGAAGAAGGCCCUAGGGUUGUAAAGCUCUUUCGGUGGGGAAGAUAAUGACGGUACCCACAAAAGAAGCCCCGGCUAACUCCGUG
rnacentral:rRNA from 1 species